GCUCCUGUGGCUUUGUGGUUAAACCGUCCGCAUCGGAUGCGGGAGGUCAUGGGUUCGAACCCCGGUUGAGUCA